AUACCACAUGCUAUAUGUGAUCUAUUCAGCCUCGAUACUUUAGAUAUGAGCCAUAAUCAAUUUUCAGGCCCAAUUCCUAAAUGUCUGGGAAAUGUCUCUUCUUUAAGAAAUCUUCAUCUAGACUCCAACAUGUUGAAUUCAAGCAUACCUUCAAGCUUAUGGGGCCUAAAAGAUUUGAACUCUCUAGACUUGUCCUCAAAUUCAUUAAAUGGGUUCUUACCACAAGAGAUAAGUAACUUAGGAGCAGCAAUACAUAUAAACCUAUCGAUGAAUCAGUUGUCAAAGUCUAUUCCUAGCACUAUUGGGAAGUUGCAGAAUUUGAUUAAUCUGUCUUUGGCAAAUAAUAGACUAGAAGGUUCUAUUCCUGUGUCUAUGGGAAGCAUGAUCAGUUUGGCAAAUCUCGACUUGUCGUACAACAACCUCUCUGGUUCAAUUCCAAAGUCUUUAGAAGCACUUCAACACCUCGACUACUUUAAUGUCUCUUUCAAUAGUUUAAGUGGAGAAAUUCCUAAUGGAGGUUCUUUUAGAAACUUCACUACGGAUUGUUUUAAGGGUAAUGAGGCAUUGUGUGGAAUCCCCAAGUUCCAUGUCCAAAUUUGCUCUUCAAUUUCUAAUCACAGAUCAAAGAGAAAGAAGGUGGAACGAGCUUCAUUUAUUGUUUUCGGGGUUGUGGCUUUCAUCUCAGUUGUUUCUUUGGCCUUUAUAAUUGUCAAAAACAAAAGGAAAGAUAAGACGACUAGCAGAGAAGUUGAUGAGUUGAUAUUCAUUGUGCCGGAAAGAAUCUCUUAUUAUGAACUGCUGCAAGCAACGGAAAGAUUCGAUGAAAGCAAUUUACUUGGCACUGGGAGUUCUUGCUCUGUUUAUAAAGGAAUUCUUAACAAUGGGAAGGAUAUCGUUGUCAAGGUGUUUAAUAUGCAGCUAGAAGGUAUUUCAAGAAUAUUUGAUGUCGAAUGUGAGAUACUACGUAGCAUUCGACACAGGAAUCUGACAAGCGUCAUAAGCAGUUGCUCCAAUGAAGAGUUCAAGGCAUUAGUACUUGAAUAUAUGCCAAAGGGAAACCUUGAAAAAUGGUUAUAUUCCCACAACUAUUGCUUGAAUAUGAUGGAAAGAUUGAAUAUAAUGAUUGAUGUUGCAUCUGCUUUGGAGUAUCUUCACCACGGUUAUUCAAUGCCCAUUGUCCACAGCGACUUGAAGCCUAGUAAUGUGCUGUUAGAUGAAGACAUGGUUGCCCAUGUAAGCGACUUUGGGAUAGCAAAGUUGUUAUGCGAUGGAGAUAGCUUUGUGUUAACCAACACGCUAGCAACAUUGGGUUACAUCGCUCCAGGUGAAGUUUCUCUAAAUAUAUUGAUUGCACUUCACUUUCAAUCAAUUAAUUGUGUCUUCCUAACUCAUACAUCAUGAUUUUGUUGUUCCAGAGUAUGGCUUGGAAGGGCAAGUUUCAACAAGGUGUGAUGUGUAUAGCUACGGGGUGAUGUUGAUUGAAACUUUUACGAGAAAAAGGCCUAGUGAUGAUAUGUUUUGCGGAGAUAUGAGCUUAAAGAGAUGGGUAGAACUCUCACUUUCGGAGAACCCAGAUGAAGUGAUAGAUGCCAACUUAGUCAUGAAUUUGGAGGAAGAAAUGAUUGACAAGAAUAUGCAGUGUGUGUCAUCCAUACUUGAAUUGGCUCUGAAAUGCUCCGCCGACUCUCCCGGGGAUAGAAUCAACAUGAAACAAGCACAUGCAGAGUUGCAGAAAAUCAAACAUCGAUUUUCCCAAUGAGAUUCAAGUAAGCUAUUUUAAAGUUCUAUGUUAUUUCUAAAAGCAUAUUCAUAUCCCAAAUUUCUAUGGCAAAGUUAGCUAAUGAAGUCUUCUUCAUUUGGUGGCUUUGAUGAGGCAUGUAGUGUCGAAGAUUUUGAAGAGGCUGUAGAUGCUAAUUGGGGUGAGGCAGUGGAUAGUUGUGAGGUGGAUGACAUAAAGAAUGGAAAAUGUUGUUCUUUAUUAUUACUAUUGUACUUGUCUUUUAAUAAAAAAAUUCCUAAAAUGUAUGGAAUGCCUAAAUAAAAAAUUCGGCCCCCGUCAAAGUUCAGCCCCCCGAACUAAAUUCCUGACUCCGUCACUGGAUAUUCCUCUUUGUGGGGAAUAGUUAGUGAUGCUUAGUUGUUUAUAUUCUGGCCAACAGAACAAUAUUUGCAUUGACCAAAAGCUCACACUUUAAUUUAGAAGGUAUGCUAUAUCUGGAAUAAUUGUCUCUCUGUUUCUUCCUUUGCUUUAUCCAGUAGUAUUCUAUCUUUUCAAGAGCUUUAUUCCGGAGAUGCCGCGCAGGUCAUAUAAUAUGCUCACUUUGUCACACUGAACAUGAGGUUGGUUUUACUCAUUUUACUCUAUACUCAUUCAUCUUCAUGAAUAAGAAUUUGGAAACCUCCACACUACCUGCAUUGAAGCAUGGCUGCUAGAAGUCUAGAACUGUUCUGUCUCAGUUAAGCUGAAUAUAGUUACUAAUGUCAAACAUGUAUAUAGAAGUUGAAAACAUAAUACGAGAAAAUGGGGAAGGGAAGUUCAAAUAUGUCUUGGCCUGCUGGACUUGCAAAUGAGUUAGGCAAGAUUGGUCUUAUUUAUGGGUUGGGGAAGAGGUUGCCUGUUCUCAGAUUAAUAAUGUUUUAGCUGUAGUAUGAUGUGUUUUGGGGAUUUUCCUUCUUUUUCUCUAUCAAUCUCUUAUUUUGUUGGUUUGGGUGUGUUACUCAACAAGUUUGCAUAAAUUGUGGGGUGUGCAUGGGAAGAUACUAUAUAUUGUGGAACUCGCAAGCUGUAUGAUGCAUGAUGGUUGUGAGUAGGAAGUAUCUUCCUGUAUGCAUGCUGAUCUUUUGUUGAGUAAGAAGAAAAAGAUGGAUAGUAGUUGAUAACAGUGGGUAUUGUUGUUAGUAGAGUUCGCGUCCCAUUAUAAAUGUGUGGAGGAAAAUAAAGUGUUAUAUGGACCCUACUACUUUAAAUGGAGCUGGAAAUGAUAUUGUGAACAACCCAAAAUAGCAAAAGUGGAAACGAUAUCGUGGACGGAGGGAGUAUGUGGUUUGUUUUGCGUUCCUUAAACUAACUUCUACAGUAAUCUGCACAAAUCCAAUCUUAAUAUUAUCUUCUUGUUUUUAUGGCCUUAAUUAGUUUGCUUAGAUCAUCUUGUUGCUGAAGCGCACAAUGUUUCUAUAUAUUUCAUCACUGUUCUUGCCUAGCUGACUAAACGUGGUUUUUUAGUAUCAAUUUGGAGUUUUCGAUUGUUCGCGAGUUUUUCUUGUUUUUGUUUUGCAAGCUCACUAUAUUAUUGAAUGAUUUUUUUUUUGGGGGGGGGAGCAAUUAUGAUUCCUAUGGUAGGCUGAGACGAAAGGUCUUAAGAUAGCCGAGACGGAGGGAGUACUAUAAUUGAUAUGACAAUAGACAAAUAUUGACAAAAUCAUGAAUUUGGAUCCUUAAAUGGAGAUCGUUAAUGGCUCUCAUUUUAUUCCAUACUCAAUAUCGUGGCCGAAUAAUAUAAAUCGACAUAAAUUUAUACUAUAUUUAUUUGCAUAGGACCAUUUCCACUAAAUUUUUUUUAACAAAGAGGCCAAACCAAGGCCUCUCAAAGGGUUUAUGGUUUAUAAAUAAGUUGAAUUUGUGCACUGAAAUAAGUGAUCAAUUUGUUAGUUUCACAAAUUUAAGAAAAGUUAUAACUCUAUCUAGGAGUAUAAAUUUUAAGCCCAUCGAACACGUGCAUGCUAAACAAUCUUAUAAAUUGAAAAUUAAAUCAAACUUGAAUUCUUUUAAUGUAUCGAAUACUCAUGAAAUUUAAUAUGACCCUACUUAAUUACACACGUAAUUCCAUUGCAUCCCUAAUUACUACCUUUCAAGACAAACCUCAAGAAACACUUAUUAAGAACCUAAAGUUACUGUCUGAAACAUGAAGCUCCACUAUCAUUCAUGCCAUUUAGUCACCUAAGAAAAGUAUUAAGACUCACGGGGUGGUUUCAAUUCAGAUUCUAUAUAAAAAAAAUUGUAUUUCAAAUGUCUAUAGACUAUAGGUAUUCAAAUCAGAUUUUAAAAAGUCCUUAAAAGUCUGUUGGUAUACAAUUAUUUGUAGAUCUAAUCAAGUUAAAUGAUACUAAAAUUAAGUUGUAAGAGCCAGAAAAUUAGUACGGUUGAAUUGGAUAAGUAGUCAUAGGUUAACGGUUUGUUAAUGUUAUCUAUGUACCUCUGCAAUAUAUAUAUAUAUAGUGAUAUUAUGUAUGAGUGCGCUCACACUUACGGGGAAAAAAAUCCUUAUAUGAUGCGCUCAUACAUAACAAAAAAAAUAUCAUUAUUUAUAUAUAUCUAUUAUACAUAACUUUUUUUGCCGUUAUAAAAGAAUUCACAACUAUGAGCUCUUAAAUUAUUAAGUGUCAGAAACAAAAAUAUUUUAUAUUUUUCAAAAAGUUAUUUUAUACUAGUAUUAUCUAAAUAGUUUAUUAAAACUCGAUAUGUUAUAUCUUGUCAAUGACAUUUAACAUAAACAUAAAUUAAAAAUAGAAAAAAAAAAUUAUAAUUCUCCAUUCAAAAUACAAUAUGUAAAGAAAAGUUAAAUUGGCAACCCAAAUUAUCAACAAAUAAAAUCCAGCCCAUAUACAACAUGUUGAAAAUUCAACCCAAAAAACAGCCCCAAGUCCAACCCAUAUUAUAUAGUAGUAUAUUCCAUUUGUCGCAUUAAGACAACAAAUAAAUAAGAUACAUAAUUUCAUUAAUCAACACAUACUAUUUCAUUAAUCAACACAUACUGCAAUUCCAUUAAAAUAAAUACAACAGUUGGCAAAACCAAUGAACGUUAGAACACAUAUCAUGUUUAAUUGGUAUAUGAACUCAUCAUGCCCUUUUAAACUCCCCUCCAUCAGCUAUCAUAUUCUUUGUAAACUUAUUGCUUUCUUUUUUCAACAACAUGCUUUGUUUGCAAAUUUUGUGUAAACUGAUUUUAUAUAUAUACACCAAAGAAACAACCCCAUUCAUAUGCGAUAUUAUAAACUCAAAUGAGCAAAAGUUGAAUAUAUUUUACAACCAAUAUAAGCAGUACAUAUGUUUUCUUUUCAUUUAGCUGAGCUGGCCCAAUGUUCUUUUUUUUAUUUAAUUGGGCUGCGGUUUGUAAUAUUUAGCAUGGGCCGAUGAAUUUCAGAUUUUGGGCUGUGCAUAUUUGUGUUUAAACGGACCACCUUGAUUAUUUAAUUAGACUAUCAUUAAUUUAAUUAAUUCUUUUUAAAGUAUAAUUUGUAUAAUAAUAUUAUAUUAUUAUGUGCAUAUUUUAAGUAAUUAUUUAUUAUAUGUUUGAAGCAUGACAUAAAAUUGAAUUUGCACAGGUAGAAGUGUACGUAGAAGUAUGAUGUGGCUGCUUCUUAUCUCCAUUGUAUAGUUUUGAAGUGUGGAUAUACCUUUUUACUGAUUCCUGCUCACUUUAAAUUAUCCUUUUGCAAGUGGGACUUUUCUCAAUCCAAAGUUUGAUUCUAUAUAUCUGUUUCUAUAUAAUCAAUCGAGAUAUAAGGAUUUAGUUUGCAUUUCUAUAUCGAUCAAGUCUUGGUCUGCGUCUCCCUCUUUGUCUCAACUCUUCACCUUCGUCUUCGUCUUCGUCUGCGUCUUUGAUAGGAUAUUGCUCGGCUAUGACUACUUCGAGUGAGUCUAACUCCAAUUCAAAAGGAAUAAUAGAGAAAGCAGAUAAUUUCAUUCAUUCAAAAAAAUGCCCUUGUACAUACUCUCAUCUGCUAUUUAUUUGAUACGAGCCACAACGGCCUGCUCUGCAACAUGCAGGACUCCUAACAAACUAAGAUAUCCUAACAGCAGGUGGGGACCUUCAUCAAGGACUAUCAGGUGCUCCGCCCCAUGGCAAAGUCACGGAAACGGGCCGGCAUCUUUCGAUUGCGCGUGGGCCUACCCUCAGUGCGGAGGUCUUCCUCAUUCUGGACUUCUUCUUCAAGUUGGGCUACCACUUCAUUGGGCUUAGUCUGCCCCGAUCCAGUAGUUGUAUCAGUCUUUGUCUCAACUCUUCACCUUCGUCUUCGUCUUCGUCUCCGUCUCUGUCUUUGUCUCAACCUCAAGUCUUCGUCUUCGUUUUGUCUUCGUCUCAAACGGAAAAAACAAAAAAACAAAAAAGACGUCAAAAGGCACCACCCGUGAAGACUCUCAAGUCUUAUAAUAUUUGUGUAUAUAUGAUGAUUAUUGGAUGCAUUUAUUAGCGACUUAAUUAUCAUAAUACAUUCACAAUUUGCAGCCAUGGACAAAAAGUGGACUAUCUUUUUAGUAAAAACAAUAUUUUUAUAUAGUAUUAAUUAGAAAAGUGGACUAUCUUUUUGGAACAUCUCAAAAUGGAAUAAGGGACUAAAAUGGUGGGACGGAGUGAGUAUAAUUUGUGGAUCCCUUUCUUCACUCACUAACUCGUGGAUUCUUUCUUCAUUCACUAACCUAAUUAACCUUUUCCACUUUUCUUAAUUAUUUUUGGGCUUCUUUAUCCACUCACGACCUAAUGGUAAAAAUAGGACCGUAACUUUCAGAAUUUUUAGAAAAAGGACUAUAAGUUACGGAUUUUGAAAAUAAGGACUAUAAUUUUGUAUUCUCGUUUUAACAAUUAACAGUUAUAUUUUUUUUAGGAAAAUUAACAAUUAUAUUUGUUUUAUCUUAAUUAAUUUAAUAUCCUAAAAGAAAGCUACAUAUAUACGUUCAUUAUAAUGUUAAAAGACAUAUAUUAUUUCUUUUUUACAUUUAAUUAGAAGAAUAAAUUAUAAAAAANUAUGCCAUCAAUUUUGAAUAGAGAGAAGAGAUUUUGCAGUAUGGCAGAUUUGCAAGCAAGGAAGAAUUGAGUAAGCAGGAAUAUCUAAAGAUAUUUAAAGACAUUUUUUUUGUGAAGAAAACCUGAUGGCAUAUUUUUUUAUAAUUUAUUCUUCUAAUUAAAUGUAAAAAAGAAAUAAUACAUGUCUUUUAACAUUAUAAUGAACGUAUAUAUGUAGCUUUCUUUUAGGAUAUUAAAUUAAUUAAGAUAAAACAAAUAUAAUUGUUAAUUUUCCUAAAAAAAAUAUAACUGUUAAUUGUUAAAACGAGAAUACAAAAAAGAAACAAAAAAAUUUUUUGCAAAAAAGUUGACAAUAUGGCAGUCCACGUCAGCAACGGGCUCUACGUUGCAUCAAAAUCCCGAACAAUUAAUUUUGGGCCCGAAACAGGAGUGUAAAUGUUAAAAAAAAAUUAUAGUCCUUAUUUUCAAAAUCCGUAACUUAUAGUCCUUUUUCUAAAAAUCCUGAAAGUUACGGUCCUAUUUUUACCAUUAGGUCAUCCACUCACUAAAUAUACAACACAAAUUUUCUUAAAAUGCGUGUCAUCCUCAGGCGUGGACAAAGAGAGUAUUUGUUAUCAUACACAAUUAAAACAUACUUCCUCAGUUCUACUUUACUUGGCAUGGUUUUUUUUUUUGGAUCGUCCCAUCUAACUUGGCUUGUUUCAUUUUUUAGUAAUAAAAUUUUACUAUAUAAUAAAUAUGAAUCUACAUAUUUUACACUAUAUUAUUGUUAUUAUUAUUAUUAUUAUUAUUAUUAUUAUUAUUAUUAUUAUUAUUAAAAAAAUAAACUUUUUUUAGGCAUUCCCAUAUGCAUGGGAAUAGGCUAAUCCCAUAUGCAUGGGGGAGGGGAGGAAUGGCUAAUCCCAUAUGCAUGGGAAUAUGCAUUUCAUUGGGAAUGACGAUUCUAAUUAUAAAAACGGUACCAGCCAUAGGAUUGAGAAUUGACACAGGAAUCAUCAUUCCAUUCUUGCAUACCAGUCAUGCCCUUAUAUGUGAUUAGCAGGUACGGAGCUAAGCUAUCUUUACAAGUUUUUGAUUUUAAAUCCAAACUAUUAAUUUGCCGAUAAAAUAAUUUGAAUUUGAGGGUUACAAUCAAUUCCCUAUCAUCAAACUUUCGACCUCACAAAUUGAGGGGGAAAAACAAACAUUUUAAACUUUUAAUAACCUGUUCAUUUUAAAUUCAUUUUUAUGACUUUUAUAACAUAUUAAAGAUCUUCUGAAAACAACUUAAGAUGCGGAGUUUAAAUUUAUUUAAGGCCAUUAUCUUAGGGUUAUUUGCAAAAAUAGGCCACUAUUUUUCGGACUUGCAAAAAUAGGCCAAUUAUUUUAAUUUUGGUAUUUUUAGGCCACAUGUGUACCCAAUCAGGCUAUUUUGGGCCACAUUUUGACCCCAAAAAGUGGCCUAUAAAUGCUGAAUUGGGCUCAAAUGUGGCCUAAAAAUGCAAAAAACUAAAAUAAUUGACCUAUUUUUGCAAGUCCGAAAAAUAGUGGCCUAUUUUUGCAAAUAGACCUAAGAUAAUGACCUUAAAUAAUUUUAAACUCUAAGAUGUGCAUUGAAUAUUUUUCUCAUAAAUUAAAUUUGAUUAUGUUUAGAAAAUAAUUAAAAUUAUAAAGCUGUUUGGAUAUAAUUAAAUGGGGAGUGAUUUUUGGACACCGGGUGUCUUAGACACCUUCAUAAAAAAUCAGUUUUUGCUUGAUGUUUAAUAUUUAGUGAUUUGUCUAAAAUAUCAUUUCCAAAAAUAUAUUCAACCGAUUUUGCUAUUAUUUUUAAUUUUUAUAUUUUUUUAUAUAAAAAAUUAGUGAAUAUGGAAAAAAAUAUUAAAAAAUAUAAAAAUAAAAAAUAAUAAGAAAAUCGAUUGAAUAUAUUUUUGAAAAUAAUAUUUUAGACAAAUCACUAAAUAGAAAAAAACAAUCAAAUUAAACAUCAAGAAAAAACUGAUUUUUUAUGAUGAUGUCUAACCAAAAAUCUUUUCCCAUAAUUAAAUAUAUGCAAUUAAUUUAUUCAGUAAAGACGCUUUUGGACUGCUUUAAAUAUAAACUAAAGCAAAGAAUUCGAGUUUCCCCUUUUCUCUUUAGACCAUAUUACAGCUUUUUUAAAAGCUUUGGUUUAAUCGAUUAAUUUGCAAAAGAUGCACUUUAUUUUUUUGUCUUGUAUCAACUUUUAUUUUUCGGGAUAAUAUAUAAUGGACUAUAUAUGGUGUACCUUAUAUAUUUUUUUACUAGAGAAAGUAAAAAUUAGAAAACUUGAAUUCAUGAUAGGUGGAGUGGAAAUGAAAGAAAAGACUCGGAAAGAUUAGUUAGGAUGAUCCAUUUUCCAAAAGGUGAAAAAGGAGUGGAAAAAACAGAAAAACAUAGAUAGGUCCCACCACUACAAGUUUUCUAAGUCAAAAGGUUUAGAAAAAUAUUGAAAUUUAUGUUGUAUGAAUCGGAAUCAUGAUCAUUGCAUUAUAAAUUUAUAGAUAUAGGGUGUGUUUGCUUUUUAUCCUUCUAAAUGGAGGGAUAACAAAAAUUUGUGCCUUCACAUUUUACACAAAAGAGAAAUUCACUAUUUUUUUUUCCUUAUUUUUUUGGUGUGAUAAUAUUAUCCCUCCUUGAGGUGAAAAUAAGGAAGAAAAAAUGGUGAACUUCUCUUUUGUGUAAAAUGUGGGAUAAGAAAUUAGACAUUUAAAUGCAUAAAUUUUUAUUAUCCCUCAUUUUCCCAUCCAUCAAAGUGAACGCACCCAUAAAGAUUAAUAUAGCGUGCAAUAUUAUCAUAAUUGACAUAUUAUUAUAUUAAUAUAUAACACUCAAACGGAAAAACAAAAAACAAAAAAGCUAGACAUCAAAUUAAAGCCACAACCAUGAAGACUCUCAAGUCAAGCAAGUCUUGUAAUAUUUGUGUGUAUAUAUAUGAUGAUUAUUGGAUGCACAUAUUAGCGACUUAAUUAUCAUAAUACAAUCAUAAUUUGCAGCCAUGGACAAAAAGCUUUCUUGCAUUUUGCCUUGUGCAUUCCUAAUCACCAUAACCUUCCCAAUGCUUUCUUCUGAAGCCAAACAACCUUUGAGCCUUGCAACUGAUCAAACUGCCCUUCUUUCACUCAAACAUACAUCUCUUUUACUUGCAAUUAAUUGGACCAACUCCACCUCCGUCUGCAGCUGGAUUGGCGUCACUUGCAGCUUCCGCCACCACAGAGUAGUUGCCUUGAAUCUCUCCAACAUGGCUCUCUCCGCCACCAUUCCACCGCAGCUCGGACACCUCUCCUUCCUCGUCUCCCUCGACCUCACCAACAACCUUUUCCAUGGAGAUUUGCCUCAAGAGCUGUCUCUCCUUCGCCGUUUGAAGUUCAUAUCUUUCCGACUCAACAACUUCACCGGAGACAUCCCUCCGAUGUUGGGUCAGUUACCAAAAUUAGAGCACUUGUCUUUAAGCAACAACAGCUUCAUAGGUUCCAUCCCAAAAUCUCUCUCAAACCUCACAAACCUACAAUUUCUUGACUUAUCUUCCAAUUCUCUAAGUGGAGAAAUUCCAAAAGAGUUUGGGAGACUUCAAAGUCUACAAACUCUGUAUGUUGAAUCCAAUCAUUUAUCGGGUGCUAUACAAUCAGCCAUAUUCAACAUCUCGACCCUUGUAGUUAUAGCAUUGAGAUACAAUGAACUGAGUGGAAGUCUUCCGACAGACAUGUGUCGUAAUCUUCCAUUUCUUGCUCUCAUUCGUCUUUCUAGAAAUCGGCUGAGUGGUGCGAUUCCCACAAAUCUGUCCCAAUGUUCACGGCUUGAGGUGUUGAGCCUCGCAUACAACUCUUUUAGUGGGGAGAUACCUUCAGAAAUCGGCUACUUAACAUCUCUUCAGUAUUUAGCUCUUGGUGGUAACAAUUUGAAUGGUAUGGUUCAAAGUUCUUAUCACAUAAAUUUGUGUAAAUGAGAUUUUAUUAGUUUCAUGACACUUUUUUUGCAGGAAUACUACCACAUGAGAUUGGCCAUCUUCAGAGUCUGGUUACUUUUGGUGCUGAAAUCAAUCAGAUUGGGGGCUCAAUUGAUUUCAAUAUUUUCAUGAAUAUGUCUUCUCUGCAAACCUUAAUACUAUGGCGUAACAAAUUCACGGGGAACCUUCCAAGGGAUGUCGGGAAUAUUACCAUGCUAACAGUGUUACAACUCAAGGAAAACCAUUUAACAGGUACAACAGAGCAAUUUUCAUGUAAAUUGUCUGUUUAGCUACAAUUUUGUAAUCUCAUGUUUUGCAGGGAUUAUUCCCACUGAAUUUGGCCAACUUUACCAUUUGGAGACAUUAGAACUACAAUCGAACAGCUUGAGUGGUUCGAUUCCACAUGAGCUCUUUAACAUUUCAACUCUUCGGAUUCUUGCACUUACCAACAAUGCUCUGUCAGGGGUUCUUCCAACCCAUUUAUGCCAUGCCUCUCCCUUUCUUGAACAACUUUAUCUUGGCACAAAUUCUAUCACCGGAGCAAUACCCAACUCCAUCUCUAACUGUUCUCAACUCACAAUUCUCGCACUUUAUAAAACAAAUUCAGUGGUUAUAUACCUACUCAUCUCGGCAACCUAAGACUUCUUCAAGAUCUUCUACUGCAUAGAAACAAUCUUACCCAGCCACCAUCUUCUUCCUUCAUUACUUCAUUGACAAAUUGCAGGUCUCUAACUCAUUUGGAUAUUUCUUAUAAUCCUAUAUACAACAUCAUUCCAGCUUCUGUCGGGAACUUAUCUUCCUCACUUCAAACAUUCUAUGCCAGCAACUGCAAAUUCAAUGGCAACAUUCCUGAUGAAAUUGGCAAUUUAAGCAAUUUGAUGACAUUGGCUUUGCAAGGCAAUGAGUUAUCAGGUAAUAUUCCACUAACUAUAAGCCAUUUGCAUGAACUUCAAGGAUUACGUAUGUCUGAUAACAUGUUGGGAGGCUCAAUACCACAUGCUAUAUGUGAUCUAUUCAGCCUCAAUACUUUAGUUAUGAGCCAGAAUCAAUUUUCAGGCCCAAUUCCUAAAUGUCUUGGAAAUGUCUCUUCUUUAAGACAUCUUCUUCUAGAAUCCAACAUUUUGAAUUCAAGCAUACCAUCAAGCUUAUGGGGCCUAAAAGAUUUGAUCACUCUAGACUUGUCCUCAAAUUCAUUAAAUGGGUCACUACCUCUAGAGAUG
rnacentral:lncRNA from 1 species